GACGAACGCUGGCGGCGUGCUUAACACAUGCAAGUCGAACGGAAAGGCCCUGCUUUUGUGUGGUGCUCGAGUGGCGCACGGGUGAGUAACACGUGAGUAACCUGCCCUUGACUUGGUGAUAUCUUCAGGAAACCGCGGCUAAUACCGGAUAGGAGCUCCUGCUGCAUGGGGGGGGUUGGACAGUUUCGGCGGUUGUGGAUCGACUCGCGGGUUACCAGCUUGUUGGUGGGGUAGUUGCUUACCAAGGCUUCGACGGCUAGGCGGCAUGGGAGGGUGAACGGGGACAUGGGGACUGAGAGAGGGCGCAGUGGGGUACGUGGGGCAGCGGUGGAGAGUAUGACACAAUGAGGCGAAGCGUGUUGCGGAGGCGUCGCGUGCGGAAUGACGGCCUUGGGGUUGUAAACCGCUGUAGCCUGUGACGAAGCGUGAGUGACGGUAAUGGGUAAAGAAGCACCGGCUAACUACGUG
rnacentral:rRNA from 1 species